GUGAUGGUGACCAGGGGAGUGAAGAAAAUAGUCGAAGUUCAAAAAUUUUAGAUGAGGAUUUGCAGAGUCCUUUUGUUGACUUCCAAAACAGAAUGCAAUUGCCACACAAGAUCAAAUCACUGUGAUCAAGACAAUUUGGAAGCAUGUAAAAGUAUACUUAUGAAGAGAGAUGGGAUUGAGCGUUUAGCACUCUAACACAAAUCGACGGUUAGUUUUGUUUGGCUCCUUUCUACCGUUUAGCACUUUCGGCCAAUUUCUGUUUUUCUUUUUUUAAUGUAAACUGUUUCAUACGUGUACUGAUGAUUCCAAUACGAAACUUAUCUCAAUAUAAUAAGUUCUUUGUGUUUCUU